AUGCGGUACGGUAAAAGUGUAGGGGAUUAUCUUCAGGUGUAGUAAGCCCAAUCACCACCAUCAGGACCCUAUUGAAAAUAAGUCUUUAGACUUUUCUAUGUUACCGUUGGUGUUCAAACCAAUUAAAUCCAAUCUAAUCGCUAUGACCUGUCCCAGACUGAAGGCUUGGUAGUGUGCAUUAUUAAAAUAUCCUGGUACAUGAUGAUAUAAUGCUGUCCUACUUAAAGGAAAGAUGAGAAAAAAUACUUGAUUAUUAUUCCUUCAUUUGGGAUAAUAUGGGAAUGCCUUAGCAAAUGACAACAGUAUUUCAGAGCAGUUGACCCCGGUGAAUACAGGUUGCUGUGGUGAAACAAAGACUCUGCAAAUGUGUGAAUCACAGAAUAAACA